UCUUGGUCAUUUAGAGGAAGUAAAAGUCGUAACAAGGUUUCCGUAGGUGAACCUGCGGAAGGAUCAUUAUUGAAAUAAACCUGAUGAGUUGUUGCUGGCUCUCUAGGGAGUAUUGUGCACACUUGUCAUCUUUAUAUCUCCACCUGUGCACCUUUUGUAGACUUGGAAUUAGCUUUCCAUGCCUAUGUUUUAUUAUAAACUCAAUUGUAUGUUUAGAAUGUAUUUGAAUGGGCCUUUAUCUGCCUAUACAAAUUUACAACUUUCAGCAACGGAUCUCUUGGCUCUCGCAUCGAUGAAGAACGCAGCGAAAUGCGAUAAGUAAUGUGAAUUGCAGAAUUCAGUGAAUCAUCGAAUCUUUGAACGCACCUUGCGCUCCUUCGCAAUUCCGAGGAGCAUGCCUGUUUGAGUGUCAUUAAUAUAUCAACCUCUAACAUUUAUYUGUUAUGAGUGUUGGAUGUGGGGGGGAUUUUUGCUGGAUUUAAUUUAUUGAGUUCAGCUCCCCUGAAAUGCAUUAGCAGAAUUGUCCUGUCUAUUGGUGUGAUAAUUAUCUACGCUAAUUGAAUGGGAGCAGUGUUCGGCUUCUAAUAGUCCAUUGGACAAUUUCUUUAUUAAUGUGACCUCAAAUCAGGUAGGACUACCCGCUGAACUUAAGCAUAUCAAUAAGCGGAGGAAAAGAAACUAACAAGGAUUCCCCUAGUAACUGCGAGUGAAGCGGGAAAAGCUCAAAUUUAAAAUCUGGCAGUCUUUGGCUGUCCGAGUUGUAAUCUAGAGAAGUGUUAUCCGCGUUGGACCGUGUACAAGUCUCCUGGAAUGGAGCGUCAUAGAGGGUGAGAAUCCCGUCUUUGACACGGACUGCCAGGGCUUUGUGAUGCGCUCUCAAAGAGUCGAGUUGUUUGGGAAUGCAGCUCAAAAUGGGUGGUAAAUUCCAUCUAAAGCUAAAUAUUGGCGAGAGACCGAUAGCGAACAAGUACCGUGAGGGAAAGAUGAAAAGAACUUUGGAAAGAGAGUUAAACAGUACGUGAAAUUGCUGAAAGGGAAACGCUUGAAGUCAGUCACAUUGGUCAGGAAUCAACCUUGCUUCUGCUUGGUGUAUUUUCUGGUUGAUGGGUCAGCAUCAAUUUUGAUCAUUGGAAAAAGGUCAGGGGAAUGUGGCAUCCUUGGAUGUGUUAUAGCCCUUGAUUGUAUACAAUGGUUGGGAUUGAGGAACUCAGCACGCCGCAAGGCCGGGUUUUUAACCAUGUUCGUGCUUAGGAUGCUGGCAUAAUGGCUUUAAUCGACCCGUCUUG
rnacentral:rRNA from 1 species